AGUGAACGCUGGCGGUAGGCCUAACACAUGCAAGUCGAACGGCAGCACAGUAAGAGCUUGCUCUUACGGGUGGCGAGUGGCGGACGGGUGAGGAAUACAUCGGAAUCUACUUUUUCGUGGGGGAUAACGGAGGGAAACUUACGCUAAUACCGCAUACGACCUACGGGUGAAAUCAGGGGAUCUUCGGACCUUGCGCGAUUGAAUGAGCCGAUGUCGGAUUAGCUAGUUGGCGGGGUAAAGGCCCACCAAGGCGACGAACCGUAGCUGGUCUGAGAGGAUGAUCCGCCACACUGGAACUGAGACACGGUCCAGACUCCUACGGGAGGCAGCAGUGGGGAAUAUUGGACAAUGGGCGCAAGCCUGAUCCAGCCAUACCGCGUGAGUGAAGAAGGCCUUCGGGUUGUAAAGCCCUUUUGUUGGGAAAGAAAAGCAGCAGGUUAAUACCCCGCUGUUCUGACGGUACCCAAAGAAUAAGCACCGGCUAACUUCGUG
rnacentral:rRNA from 1 species